rnacentral:rRNA from 1 species
GAUCAACAGGGUAUUGCCCCAGUAACGGCGAGUGAAGCGGCAGGAGCUCAAAUUUGAAAUCUGGGGCCCCCGGCCUCCGAGUUGUAAUUUGGAGAGGCUCCUUCGGGGGGGAGCGCUGGCCCAUGUUCCUUGGAACAGGACGUCGCAGAGGGUGAGAAUCCCGUGCCAGGCCGGCUGCCUCCUCCCGCGUGAAGGGCCUUCGACGAGUCGAGUUGUUUGGGAAUGCAGCUCCAAGUGGGUGGUAAAUUUCAUCUAAAGCUAAAUACCGGCGGGAGACCGAUAGCGCACAAGUAGAGUGAUCGAAAGAUGAAAAGCACUUUGAAAAUAGAGUCAAAAAGUACGUGAAAUUGUUGAAAGGGAAGCGCUUGAGACCAGACUCAGACCCAGGCAAACACCGCGCCCCCAGGGGCCGUGCAAUUGCCCGGUGCUGGGCCAGCAUCAGUUGGCGUGGCGGGACAAGGGCGCGGGAAAUGUGGCUCCCCUCGGGGAGUGUUAUCAGGCCCGCGCCGGAUGCCGCCGACGCCGACUGAGGACCGCGCCUCGGCUAGGAUGCUGGCUUAAUGGCCUUCAGCGACCCGUCUUGAAACACGGACCAAGGAGUCUAACAUCUAUGCGAGUGUUUGGGCGCCAAACCCUUGCGCGGAAUGAAAGUGAGCGGAGGUGGGAACCCCUCGCCGGGCGCACCAUCGACCGAUCCUGAUGUCUUCGGAUGGAUUUGAGUAGGAGCAUAGCUGUUGGGACCCGAAAGAUGGUGAACUAUGCCUGAAUAGGGUGAAGCCAGAGGAAACUCUGGUGGAGGCUCGCAGCGGUUCUGACGUGCAAAUCGAUCGUCAAAUUUGGGUAUAGGGGCGAAAGACUAAUCGAACCAUCUAGUAGCUGGUUCCUGCCGAG